rnacentral:rRNA from 1 species
CCUACGGGUGGCAGCAGUGGGGAAUAUUGGGCAAUGGAGGCAACUCUGACCCAGCAACGCCGCGUGAAUGAUGAAGGUCUUCGGAUUUUAAAGCUUUUUUUUAAGGGAAGUAGAAUGUGACGGUACCUUAGGAUUAUGCCUCGGCUAACUACGUGCCAGCAGCCGCGGUAAUCCGUAGGAGGCUAGCGUUAUCCGGAGUGACUGGGGUUAGAGGGUGAGUAGGUGGUUGGACAAGUUGGUAGAGUAAGUCCGAGGCUUAACCUCGGCACUACUACCAAUACUGGUAGACUCGAGUGCAGUGGUGGCAAGUGGAAGUCGUAGUGUAGCGGUGGAAUGCUUAGAUAUUAGGAAGAACCCCAGUGGCGAAGGCAGUUUACUAAACUGUAACUGACACUGAGGCACGAAAGCGUGGGGAGCAAACAGGAUUAGAUACCCGAGUAGUC